rnacentral:RNase_P_RNA from 1 species
AAUGCGGGCCGAGCGGACCGCGGGGGGAGAGAAAACCCCUCGAGGAAAGUCCGGACACCACAGGGCAGGGCGGUGGGUAACGCCCACCCGGGGAAACCCGCGGGAAAGUGCCACAGAAACACACGGCCGAUGGCGCGACCGCACGUGAGUCGCGUACAGGCAAAGGUGAAAAGGUGCGGUAAGAGCGCACCGGCGUCGCGGUGACGCGGCGGCCAGGCAAACCCCGCCCGGUGCAAGGCCAAGCAGGACCGUCGACCCAGCCCGGCGAGGUCCAGGUAGGCCGCAGAGAUAGAUGGCCGCUCGAGACAGGAUCCGGCUUAUAGGCCCGCUAAC